AUUGUAUCAUUAACCAUUUCUUUUUC
rnacentral:miRNA from 1 species